CGCAAGCCUGAUCCAGCAAUGCCGCGUGUGUGAAGAAGGCCUGAGGGUUGUAAAGCACUUUCAAUUGUGAAGAAGGGUUCGCAUCUAAUAGGUGUGAGCUUUGACGUUAACUUUAGAAGAAGCACCGGCUAACUCCGUGCCAGCAGCCGCGGUAAUACGGAGGGUGCAAGCGUUAAUCGGAAUUACUGGGCGUAAAGCGCGCGUAGGCGGUUGUUUAAGUCAGAUGUGAAAUCCCCGGGCUCAACCUGGGAAUGGCCUCUGAUACUGGGCAACUAGAGUUUGGAAGAGGGAAGUAGAAUUUCAGGUGUAGCGGUGAAAUGCAUAGAGAUCUGAAGGAAUACCAGUGGCGAAGGCGACUUCCUGGUCCAGAACUGACGCUGAGGUGCGAAAGCGUGGGUAGCAAACGGGAUUAGAUACCCCGGUAGUCCACGCUGUAAACGAUGUCAACUAGCCGUUGGGCGCCUUGUGCGCUUAGUGGCGCAGCUAACGCAUUAAGUUGACCGCCUGGGGAGUACGGUCGCAAGACUAAAACUCAAAUGAAUUGACGGGG
rnacentral:rRNA from 1 species